AGGUCAUCUAGUCCAACUUCCCUGCAAUGAACAUGUACACAUACAGAGGGUUGGACGAGAUGGUCUUU
ensembl:miRNA gga-mir-7449 gga-mir-7449